rnacentral:rRNA from 1 species
CAAGACCUGCGCUUUUGGAGCGGCCGAUGUCUGAUUAGCUUGUUGGUGAGGUAAAAGCUUACCAAGGCUUCGAUCAGUAGCUGGUCUGAGAGGACGACCAGCCACACUGGGACUGAGACACGGCCCAGACUCCUACGGGAGGCAGCAGUGGGGAAUUUUGGACAAUGGGGGCAACCCUGAUCCAGCCAUGCCGCGUGAGUGAAGAAGGCCUUCGGGUUGUAAAGCUCUUUCAGCCGGAACGAAACGGUUACGGUUAAUACCCGUGACUACUGACGGUACCGGAAGAAGAAGCACCGGCUAACUACGUGCCAGCAGCCGCGGUAAUACGUAGGGUGCGAGCGUUAAUCGGAAUUACUGGGCGUAAAGCGUGCGCAGGUGGUUUUGUAAGUCAGAUGUGAAAUCCCCGGGCUUAACCUGGGAACU